CAGACACCAGCAGAUACUUUGGGUACAAGAGAGGACACUUGUAACUUGGCUUGGCUUUGGAUACCUACAAUGAGAAAUAUUACCAGCAGGAGCUUUAGUUACAUUACACUGCCUGCCUGUGAAUAGAGAAGAGCCCGAGCAAGUUACAGGAAUCAUAGAUGGUGAUACAUGCCGUAUAAUCAGUGAAAGAACUUUUUUUAAUGGAGAAGAGGGCAGAAGGUGGUGAGUCCCCUCCGGAUAAGUUGAGCCUGAAGACCAGAAGCUAUUAACCUCCACACCACUGGAAGUUCAGCAACAGGAAGAGGAUGGGGCACCCCUGCAUUGAAGAUUUCUACAGAACCCGGCAGCCUGAAAAUCGCAGGAUAUACGUCAUUACAGAAAAUCUGUAACAACCGGGAUUGCAACUUUGUGGACUACCCAUCUAUUUCACCUCUGGGAAACAUACUUCUUUAUAUGCCCAUAUUGGAUCUCGUGGCUAUGGAAUGUUAAGAAGUAUGUAACCUAAAGGUAGCAUUCCAGCUGGAUAUCAAAGGCUACAUUGCUACCAUCUUUACAGCAGCCUCUUACCAUAUCUCAGCAGAUUUCAAGAAUAAGGUGGUAAACCUAACUGGGCAAAACACUGGUGAAGGGAUAAGGUUUGUUUUCAGCAAAACCAUGCUAAACAACUUCAUAUAUGGUCUUGGAUUUGAAUAGACUGGAGUUUAGGAAGAACUCACAUAGUUAUGACAAGUAUUCUCCACGAAACGGUUAUAUAACCUUGAUUGUCCCUAUAUGUUAACCCCUUCCCAGCCAGUGUCAUUGUUAGAGUGACAGUGUAUAGUAUUCGCUCUAAUCACUAUAUUAGUGUCACUAUUGAUGACAGUGUCUGUCAGUUAGUGUACCCCCCAGCCCAGGGCCAAUCCUUGAGUCACAGACGCCUGGGUGCAGAAAUAUUUCUGGCGCCCCCACAUGGGCAGGGUAAUCUUGCUAACUCCUCCCCAUUACAAAUGUUUCUAUGGCAACUGGGCUGGGCACCCUCUAAGGGAGCACAGCUCUCGAUCAUCAGUACCUAGGUGGGCGGGGCGAUGGGCAGAUCCUCUCUCCGCUCAGUUCUCUCUAUGCGCUCCUGUGCUGUGCGUGCUGGGCGACAGAGAAAGCGCCCAGCUGCUGCAUGUGACCCCCAUGUCCCCAGUGGAAAAAACUUGCUCUCCCCUUGCAAUGCCACUGUGUGUGUGACACAGACAAGGCCAAGGAGAAGGGAAGGGAGCACUCUGGCACUUUGGUGCCCCACCUCUGCGGUGUGCGGUGUACCACACACCUGCAUAGGAUCGGCCUUGCUCCAGCCAGCAUCAGCUAGUGUCAGAUUCCCCGCCACACUAUCACAGUCCCACUAUAAGUUGCCAAUCACCACCAUUACCAGUAUAAAUAUAUACUUAU